AGCUGUGUCACAUCAAGCCAAC
rnacentral:miRNA from 12 species